GAUGAACGCUAGCGGCAGGCCUAACACAUGCAAGUCGAGGGAGAGGCCCUUUCGGGGGCAGAAACCGGCGCACGGGUGCGUAACGCGUAUGCAACCUACCUUUCACAGGGGGAUAGCCCGAAGAAAUUUGGAUUAAUACCCCAUAAUAUUAUUGGAUGGCAUCAUUUGAUAAUUAAAACUGCGGUGGUGAAAGAUGGGCAUGCGUCCUAUUAGCUAGUUGGAGUGGUAACGGCACCCCAAGGCUACGAUAGGUAGGGGUCCUGAGAGGGAGAUCCCCCACACUGGUACUGAGACAGGGACCAGACUCCUACGGGAGGCAGCAGUGAGGAAUAUUGGUCAAUGGUCGGAAGACUGAACCAGCCAUGCCGCGUGCAGGAAGAAUGCCUUAUGGGUUGUAAACUGCUUUUAUAUGGGAAGAAUAAGGCGUACGUGUACGUUGAUGACGGUACCAUAUGAAUAAGCAUCGGCUAACUCCGUG
rnacentral:rRNA from 1 species